rnacentral:lncRNA from 1 species
AAAAUCUUAUCCGAAAAUUUUAUCUGAUUAUGAAUGGUCUUGACACGUAGGAAUCCGGAAAUCUUAUCUGAAAAUAUUAUCCAAAUUAAUUAUUUUCAUUAAAAAAUAGGGAAAAAAAUAAAAAAAUAAAUAGUAAUUGCCCUUAGCCAUGGCAAUGGGUGCAAACACAAAAUACUAUUUGCAAGGGCAACCACUAUUCACGUGAAUAGUGGCUGCCCUAGCUCCACCCUUGCCAUGACUAAGGGCAAAUGGGUGGAGUUGCUCUUAAGGAAUGGGCCGGUCCCAUGCAAGUGCACGGUUCUAGGUAAAGGUGCUCCUUGCUUGGUAAAGUCAUGUGUGGGUCCAUAGCAGAGCCAAAUUAGGGUCCAUUCAGUUGGAUUAGUCCCCUAUGUCAACUAGUCAUAUAUUAAGGAAUUAAUGAAAAUAAAACCAUAAUAACUUCUAUGUAAAUAUGAAGAUAAACUUCAUACAUAGUUAACGACAAAUGAAAUAACCAAAGGAAAAGUAAAUUCCUAAAGGAAAAAAAACUAAAAACAAUAAAAAUUAGAGGGAUUCACUAUUAUGCUCAAUAUAAUUUCCUAAAUUAUAUUUUAAAAAAAUAUCCUACAUGAAAUGCACUUUAGAAACACACCCAAAAUCUAUUUACAGCAUAAAAAAAAAGGCUUCGAACUUCCUAUAAAUUAUAAAACUGUCAUCAAUUUCUUAAACAAGCUAAACCCCAAAACCUCAUUAAAAAAAACUCAAAACACUCAACAGGGCAUCAAAGUAAUUUAAUAAUUAUAAUUAAAUUUAACAGGGCCAUCAGUCUUUUUUGGAUUUGUUUAUAGAAAUUAAAUGGAGAAGCAUUUAUCUAUAUCACUAGUACUAAAGGGAGCUGAUUUUCCCACUUCUCUUUUGUCCACAUACACUCCCUUUGUUACAAAUUGUAUAUUUCAACUCCUAUUUUGUCUACUUAUACUUUUUUUUUUGUUAUAGUAAAAACUAUUAUAAAAACAAAAUGAAGUUUAAGUUGACAAAAAGGGAGUGGGAAACCCAUAAAUAAAGAGUUUUUUCUAUUUAAACCCCGUACUUCUCUUUGUUCAUCCCAUAUUUUAAGUUCACCCUAACUUCUAAUUCAAAAUUUCACAAUUUCUAAGAAAACACUACUAUCUUCCCAAACUACCUUCUAAAUACACACCC